AACUCAGGAUUUUAUUUACAGGUAAAUCAUUUACAACCUGUCAAACUCCAACGUCCCUUUUUUUUAAAAAUAAAAUAAAAUCCAUUGUUAUAAAGGAAUCUCCCUAUCUCUUUUGUCUCCAAGAACUCCACGGCUCUCUCUCUCUCUCUCUCUCUCUCUCUCCCCCUGGUAAAUAAAAUACCCUGUUACCAUUUCAAUGACGAUCGAAGUACAUAUAUCAAAGACUGGCAGUGAUAUGGACAACAAACGGACGACCGGAAGAAAUUUGACAACCGUGAAAGAAACCAUGAUCAAUGUUUCAGUCAUCUGGGUCUGCAAAUCCACUGUUGCAUAAGAAGUUGAACUGGAUCAUGAGUCUGAUGUUGUGAGGGAUCCAAGAGGACUAAUGCAACCUUGAGGACAUGGUUGGUUUGGCGUGUGGUAGGGGAUAUGAUCUCAUCUAGUCAUUGUCAGCAUGUGGUAGAUUGAGGUUACAAUUUCUAUAGAUCUGCCAGAUUCUGGGUAUUUGCUUAGGAUUUACAUACUAGGUAAUAAGAUAUUUUGGAGAUCUACUUGUUAUAGAAAGGAGGUGAGGGGGAAUAAGUGAUUACAAAGGGGUUGUGCCUUCUUUGAAUUUUAUCAUCCUAUUUUUGAGAAGAGAACUAAUCACCUAUAAGGCACCUUGCACCACUAACUAUUGUGGUAUAGAGCACUUUCAUCCAUUGUAUGUUUAAAUGGUGGAGAUCUUAUUAGCUAAAAAAGCUGCAGCUCCUUUUUUUGAGAAGUAAACUACUAUUUCUUUUAUUAAGAAAUCAUACCUCACCUUAGCCAGAGUCAACAACCCCCCAAUACUCAUAGGUUUUGUACAAUCUCACGUACUACGUUCAUUAAAGCAGAAGGAGAAUAAGAAGAAGAAGAAGGAACUUUUUUAUUUUUAUGUUCUUUAGAUCUUUUUUAGCGGACCUAUCUUAUCCAUGAUGAAACCAUUGAUCUGAUGGUUCUAAUCAGAUCAAUCAGUUAUUAGCCAGGUUCAUAAAAAUUGUAUCCGAACUGUUGAUCUAAUGGGUCCCACCGGAGGACCAACAUCUGCUGUUUCAAGCAAUUGACCGUAUACAAAAUAAAAAUAAUUAUAUGAUUUGGCCUCUAUUUUGUGCAUAAUUGGUGGUUGCACUCCAACAUAUGGCUAUGUUUCUUUGACUAUGCACUAAUCAGCCAAUUAGGAUCUUCCGUUCAGUAUGAUAUUUUAGUUAUAAUCUAUCUAAAGUGGGGCUUAUGAUAUGGAUGGAUGAAUUCGAGGUAAAGGUAAGCCACGUGUACAAUGACUAAAUGCAUGCCUAUGGAUCAUCACACCAACCCAUUGGAUGAUAUAUUUGAUGGGUUGACAACAAAAGUCAGUGAUGGGCCUCAUGGUUGAUUGAUUUGACUGGAGCCAUGAAUCCAAUGGUUCCAUCAUGGAUAAGUUAGGUCCCACUGGAAAAAUCUAAAAAAGAUAAAAUAAAGAAUACCCUUCUUCUUCUUUUUAUUUAAUGGUUGUCGAAUAGGAGAGAAAUUCAAUUGUGCAUUACUCAUGAGUGUAAAAAUGGGAAAGACUGACCACUGUUUUUUGGAGAAAGAGGAAGAGGGAGGGUUUGUUUGACCCUAGUUAAAGUAAUGUAAGAUUUCUUAAUAAAAAUUAUUUUAAUAUUUAAAAAAAGAAAAAGAAAAACAGGCUGCAGCUUUUUGGUCGACAAGCUCUCAACCAUAUAAUUCUUUUAAAUGCCUUGUACCAUGAUAGUUUUGCAGGGUGCCAAUAGGUGAUAAGUUCUCUUAUGAGAAUUGACUUUGAAGUGAGUUUAUAAAAGGAGGUUCUCCCUCGGAGGAGAACUCUUUUUCAUUUUAUUUUUAAGAUUAUUCCAUAGAAACUGUUUGACACUAAUUGUCAUGAUCCACUGAGAUCUUGUCAGCUUAACUUGUUGUAAAAGAAACUUGAUAAGAAAAUAAUGGUAUUGAUGAUCUUAAAUGCAUGAGAGGGUAUUUUAAGUGUAUACUGCAGAGUGCCAUGAUCCACUGAGAUUUGGGUCUCUUCUAAUCAUUCUUUUUUUUUUUUUUUUUUUU